GUAAGGCUGAUGCAGGACAGCUGGCUCACGGCGCAGCCGUUCGGCAGCGUGUCGCGGGUUUGACAUAUCUAACCUAGACAAAUAACACGGACAGUUCAAUAUAUUUACAUCUGGAUUUAAAUACACGUAUUCUGCAACAUACGGGUGGAGAUGCAAACACGUUUUGUGAUGUAAAUAGAUGUUACGGGGAACUGGUAAGUUAAAGAACUUCAUCACCCAGAAUUCCCUAUUCUUGGUUGACGGACAUGCGCAGACUACGUGCGCGGCUGUGCGCACGUAGUCUGCGCAUGUACGCCACUGGAUUCCGGGUUUGUGUUGAACAGGCACAGUAUCACCGCUCCGUAUUUUAAACUGCUAACUACACACCUAUACUUCAUGAACUAUUACUACUAUGUGGAUGUAAGCAAAGUGUUCUCAUUCCCUCUUGGAUGUGUGCAGCCAGUGAGGUACGUUUUGUUUAAGGGCUUGUUAUAUCUGCUCGACGGCACGGACAGCUAACUGGGCUAGAGAGAGGAGCUAGCGAUUGCCGGACGGGCCAGCCAGUCAGCCAGCUUGCUAACUACACACCGAUGCUUACGUCCACAUGUACUCAACGAAGUGGAAACGCUUUUGACGAUGGCCCGUGCAAAGUCAUGCCACCAGUCUGAGGACAUCACUGGGAAUGGCACAUGGGACACGUGGCUUUCAACUCCAGCGAGGUGGGCUUCACCGCGGGCAAUCGUGGCAAAGACCCAAGUCGACUGGACCACAGCGGAAAAUGAUCCUUCCAGAGAAGAAGUUAUUUACUUCUACAACGAAUGGAAGAGUUACAACUUCCAGAUGACAGCUCGCCGCUCAUCCUUCUGGGCAACUUGAACAUCCGACAGAACUUAUGUGACCUACUGCGUUUAUUUUCUCCUUUAGCUCUCAUUUAAGUAUUAAAAUUCGCUGUAUUUUUGCAAGAGAGGCACCAAUCCUAUUUGAGUGACGUUUCGAUUGUGAAAUUGUAUUGGACCAUAUAGGUCAUCUGCAGAGCGUUGGCCCCUGGCGCAGUAAACCAGGGUUUGAUUCUUGGCAUGCACAAGACUCCUCAUGUGACUUAAAAUGAAUCCAGAAUGCAAUAUUUGUUCAGUAUGCAAGGGCAGUGAUUUAUUUAGUCAUGUUUGGUCAUGUUUUGGUUUUUUUACAUGACAAUAUGGUUUGGUACAUGCUGAGUUAAUGAAUAUACAUUCUAAAGUGCAAUGUCCAUAUGUGAAUAAGAGUUGUAUACGUUUAUCAUAGUCAACAUGGUGUGGAAAUAUCCCUUAUGUAGUUGGUCAAUGGGAACUAUAGUAGGCCGUAAUAACAGCUAA